GAUGAACGCUGGCGGCGUGCCUAAUACAUGCAAGUCGAGCGAAGCGGGGACGGGUGAGUAACACGUGGGUAACCUCCUAUGGGACUGGGAUAACUUCGGGAACCCUGGGCUAAACCCGAUACUUAUAAAUGGAUCCUCGCUGCAGUAGCUGGUUGGGACGGUAACGGCUUACAAAGGCAACGAUGCCUAGCGGACCGGCGAGUGUGAUCGGCCACACUGGACCUGAGCCACGGUCCAGACGCCUACGGGAGGCAGCAGUAGGGAAGCUUCCGCAAUGGGCGCAAGCCUGAUGGAGCAACGCCGCGUGAGUGAUGAAGGCCUUCGGAUUGUAAAGUUCUGUGAUCAGGGAAGCGUUACCCAAUCAGAAAGCAACGGCUAACUCCGUGCCAGCAGCCGCGGUAAUAC
rnacentral:rRNA from 1 species